rnacentral:rRNA from 1 species
GGUUAGAUCCAGUACCCUAAAGUCAUCAAUUCCCUUUUGAUUUUAGAAGUUAAGCAAGGUCAUCCCUGGAAAGUACUUAGAUGGGAGACCACCAAUGAAUACCAGUAGGAUAUAUUUC